rnacentral:lncRNA from 1 species
UUAUUAAAGAUAUUAAGUUUAAUGACAUGAUUCACAUGAAGCACUGUAAAAAAUAUGUACAAAUUCUUGAUGCCAAUACCAUUUUUUAUAAUAAUUUUUUAUAUAAAAAAAUAUGGUUAAGAAUCAAAACUGUACAAAAACUGGAUCUUCUAAUCCCCUGCAGAUUUUAAUCACAGCUGCUCCACACUGCCACCUAGACAGAAAAACAGUGGCCUGGUAAUGUCUCAUUCUCAAUAGGUAGAAACUAGAAGGAAAAAAAAAAGAUUAAUUAGUUAAAAAUAAGUAAAUAAAGCUGAAAUUAGAAGAAAGGGAACACAAUCCGAGUAUGAUAAAUGUUUGUGAGUGGCAUGAAGGAAGAAGAAUUUGUUUUUCAACGAAAUGAAGAUAUUUUUGAAAAGUGAUAAUCAAGCUCAAAUGCUAAAACCCAAACUGUUGUCAGAUCAUUAUAAAGAAUGUAGAAUAAAAUUAGGACAGAAUACAUAAUUAUCAGUGACUUAGAAUUUCCCUUUCCUAGAACUUAAUAAUUCACCACAUUUACAGUGAACAUAGGAGUUCCCUGGUGGCUCAGCAGAUUAAGGAUCUGACAUUGUCACUGCUGUGGCUCUGGUUACUGCUGUGGUACAGGUUCAAUCCCUAGACCUGGAAAUGCACAUGCCAGGGUAAUGGCCAAAAAAUAAAAAAUAAUAUCUUCCAAAAAACUUAUUCUUUCCUCUUCCAGUUUUAAGUAGCUAUUGAUCCCAGAGUUAAAAUUUUAAAUUACUUAAUAAGCCCCAGUUAUGCAAAUUUGUCUAUCAACUUCUUUUCAAAGAAGGAAUUUGUUUGCUUUUUCUUUUUUAGUUACCUAUAACAAGUCUUAAUGUAAAAUAUAAUUGCUUGUGUCUUGUUUUCCUGACUCUUUAGUUCCAUUGGGAUUACUUUUUUAGGCAGGAAGUUAAUUUUUUAUCUAAUACAAUGAAACAUAAUAGAAAACACUAUUAUUUUUAAAAGACAGAUAUUUCAUUCCUCCAAAAUUAAGAUUCAUUGUAAAGUAUAUCAAAAGAAAUACUGGGAAUAUUUGUCUCAGUUCAUUCAACUUUAAUUUGUUUUUCCAUAGACUAAUGGAGAGUGCCAAGUACAACAUAGUAAAUUAGUUUAGGCUAUAUGUCCAUUAGUGCUUCAGACUAACAAAUACUCUACAUCAAGGUUUACAGCCCCAGAAAUGUGCAGUUCAUCAGAAUUACCUGUGGAGCUUCUUAAAAGUACAGAAACACAGACUCCACCAAAUACCUAUUUAUUGGAUCAAAAACUGUUGGAUGAAGCAUGGCAUCUGUAGUGGUUAAAGCCCUUAAGUAUUGCUCCAGUUUGUAGCCAGAGAUGAGAACUAUUGUCCUCAAGGAGAUUUGAUUCAAGAGCCUCAUCUUAUUUCAACAUCCUCCACCAUGGCUCAACACUCUGGAAUCUGGAGCCAAGUGACUCCCAGCAUUGCCACUUACUAGUUUUGUGACCUAAAAUAAGUUACUUAUGAUGCUAUGCUUCAGGUUUCUUAACCACAUAAUAGCAACAAUAACAAUAUCCACCUUAUAUGGGUUUAUCCUGAGGAUAAUUUAUGUAAAGUAUCUGAAACAUGGCCCUCAACAGGUGAAAGCCAUUAUUACAUUUUUAUUAUUAUUACUGUUGCAAAAAUAUAGUUGCUCUGUAUAUUGAUGAACUGUAAGUUUUUAUAAAUGUUAUUACUUUUGCUAUAUUUAUUUUUACAUAUCUUAAUUUUGCAUUGUUUAUGUUUAUAUACAUUGGAUGAGAAUCACAUGGAUUAAAGGUUAUAAAGAGAAGGAUGGAGAAAGUGAGGUAACAAUUUUAAAAAACACGUAAGGUCCUCAUAAUUAUUUUAUAAACUUCUGAAUUCAAUAGGAAAUCGGUUAUACAGAAAAAUUAACUUAUGAAUAAUGAAGAAUUAAUUUCAGAUAUUUUUCUUUUUUUCCCCCAUUGUCUUUUGUUUCCUUCAGAACUCCCAUUUAUAAAAGUAAAAAAUAAAAUAAAAUAAAAUGUAUUUUAUGUAUAAGUGAUUCUGAUAUGAUCAUCAAGCCAUUGGACCAAUAUCAUGAACUAAAAAGUCUAUAGCUAGACUUCUUAAAAGAAGCAUUUAAUAAUUAAACCUUAGUGACAAUUGAAGUCUGGAUUGUUUGAACUCCUUCCAAAACUUUUUCAAAGCACAUGUAUUAUAAUCUCUUAUUCUAUUUUCUUGGUUACUGCUGCCAUAAAUAGAGUCCAAAGUGUGUUCCACAAUUUCCUCUGCCUGAAUUUAUCUUUCUUUUUUGCACUGGUAAUUAAACUUCUCCUCUUAUUCAAAAAGUAUCACCAGUUCCAGAAAUAUUCCCAAAACUUCCUCAAACCACCUAUUCUGGAGUCCACCAUUCCCACAAUUUUAAGGCUUCUUGGAAUAUUCUAAUUUGUAAGGCUGUUUAAGUUCUUUAUUUUAAAUUUAUAUAACUCUCACAUAUCCAGUUGAAUUGUAAGCUUAUAGAGAACAAAGAACCAUGCUGGUGAAAGCUUGACAUUUUUAGCCCUAGUACUAUGGAGCCUUUUAAUCAUAAAUUUAUGUUCAUAUUUCUUCUCUUUAGAAUUUUCUUAUAUCCCUAGAUAUGUUCAUAUUAAUAAAACUGGGAAAUUCUAGAUUACUUGCCAAAUGCUUGAGGCUUAGAUUUACUCACUUACUUGAGCAGUAGGUGAAUAACUCCAGCGUUUAGAAUGAAACAGAGAAUUUGCCCCAUCAGGAUCAUGGAAAUUUGGUAAGUAGAACUUUUAAAACAAAGUGAACAUCAAUUAUCAUUCCAGUAAUAAUAAGAAAUAUUUUGAAAACAAUCCUAUACAGACAGAAAAAGAACCAACUAUAAUUUAUGUAUGGUAGGUAUUUAUAACUAUAUAAUUCUAGUGAUUAAACCUACAUAAUACAAGAAAGGGGAAUUACAUGUGAAAUGAUAAUCAAAUAUGCUAUCCCUUUAUUUGGAAGCUCAGUCAAUAACUGACUUAAGCAACUUUUUUUUCUUUUUACCUUGUAUGCAAAAUACAUUUCAUGACAUUCAUUCUCCAGAAUUUAGCCAUUUUUAAAAAGCAGACAGAGAGCAGAAAGACUUAUUUUGACUUUUAAAUUAUAGGAGUGAAAUAGGUUUUCAAUAUUUAUCAAGGAGUUAAUUGAGUGAUUCAUUUGCUCUUUCAUCAUUAUAUUGUUAUAGCAUGUUUAUGUGUGAUUUAGUUUCCAUUAAGUGUUGCUAGAAGAUUAAUCUAGUUUAAGAUGCUGACUAGGCAAGCAAAAUGUUCGCCAACUGCAAGCAUUUUUAUAAUUAACUUAGCAGCACAGAUAAAUAAAGAGGUAAUCUUAUAGUAGCACAGAGGACAUGCUAUGACUGGUCUCUGAAGAAAUACAUUUUAAAUAGUAAUUCAUUGAUUUAUAGGUAGAUACUUGUAGAGGGGGGAAAAAAUUCUCUCAUGUAAUGUUAAACUAUGACAUGUUGUCCAAACUUGCACUAUUCCUUAAUUUACAUGACCAAAAAUAUGUUGAAGACAGUAAAAUACAUGUUAAACAGUGCAGUACAUUACUGGUUUGUAAUGGCAAAUGCGUGAAUGGGUAAAGGUUUAUUUAAUCAUUUGUGUUGUUCCAUGUGCAAGAAGAUUGCUCUUCUACCUUUAAUAUUAUAGAUCAAACUUGAGAAAGGGGCUAUUUAGCUUAACAUCACAUUUCUGGAAUUUGUCUCCUUUUUCAAAAUGAAGAAUUGGUCUCAACUAUGCAGGUAGUAUUAAAUGCACAGUGAAACUUCUACAGUGAGAAACUAUAACCACAGCACACCUCGACACACCUCGGAUUCCAAUAUAUGUGUUGAAAUCCCAAAACAGAUUUAUAGCAACAAGAGGUUUAAUCUGGGUCAUCAGCAAAUAAAGGAGAAUUUCUCUAAUCACAAAGCACUAUGGGCUUCACACUGCUCCUAGGAUGACCCUUGACCCCUUGAGAUAUAAGUCAGUCUUUCUAAACCAAACCCAAGGAGGAGACAGGGAUUGUAUUCAAGUAGAACUUCCCUCUGACCUUUGCUUGUUCCGAUGGACUCCAGUGACUAAAACACCUGAAUCCAAUAAUAAUACUCCACUUCCCUGUACCAAUAAUAAUAGCUAGCAUUUAUAUACAAUACUUACUUUAUGCCAAACACUAUUCUUAGUAUUUUAUAGCUGUUAGAACACUUACACUUGUAACAACCUCAUGGGGUAGGUAGUGUUAGCUUUACAAUAUCAUUUUACAGAUAAAGAAGUUGAGGCAAAGAGAAUAGCCACCAUGACCAAGGAUGUGUGAUGAAGGCCAAAUUCAAACCAAGAACGUCUGCUCCAGAGACUACUAAAAACCAUUAUUCAAAACCAUCACACACACACAAACCCACACCAGCAAACUCACUCUAAUUUUAUUCAUAUUUCUUCUCAGAAUGCAAAGAACCAACUGAAAAGUUUAUAUGUAGAAUGCGCUCCCUCCUUCAAUUUCAUGUUUUAUUCCUUACUUGCAUUGAUCUGUGGAUGAAGUUUGAUUCUGUGUAUUCAGUUUAAGAAAGUCAGAGACCAGAUUUCAUAUUUCAUAUGUUCAGAAAUACCUUCUGGCUUCACAACUGGAGGUUAGUGCUAGAAGUUAGCAAUUAUGCUUAAAUGAGACUCAUUUCAGACAAAGUCAAAAUUAAGUAAUCUGAUUUGGCGAUAUGUUGUGUUUUUAGAAGUCUUGUAUUCUCUCCAAACUUCCCUGUCCUGGGGGAAUUCAUUAGCUCACAACUAGACUUGUGGAAGAAACAUUUCAAAUCAGUAUUUUGAGCUGGUAUAUGUAGCCUCUCAGUAGUUGCAGUUUUCAGUUUGGUAAAUACUUCAGAUAAGCAGCUUCAUUAUUUUUUUUUUCUAUAUAACUGAAGAUAAUUAUAUAAAUUAUAACCAAAUUCUAUAUAAACUAUGAUAUCCUUAUAAUUACCUCCAUUAAUGUUUUUAAUUGUCAUAAUGAUUCACUUUUUAUCUUAAUACCUGAGGCAUUUCCAUUAACUCUCUAACAUGAAAACAUAUUGCAAUUGCUCAUGGGGUAUGUGUCUAAGAGACAUCUUUCCAUAUAUAUAUAUGCCUCUUCUUGAUAAACAGAGUAGGUUUUGAAAGAUUAUUGCCAUUCCUUUAUAGAUCCAAAAUGACAUCAUUCAAGUGUGUGCUUUUAUUACUUGCUAGAGACAGCAAAGAAGACAAAUAGUAGAACAUGUUUCAUAAUUUUUGAAGGUUAUGAUUUGAGUUACAGAAUUUUCUCAAAUUUCUAGGGUAAAAUUCCUCAUUCCUUCCAUCAUAUUCUGACCCUAUAUUGAUCAUCAUAGAGAAAAACUCUUCUGUAAG